AUGGGUUCUCAGCCUUUUAGCUAAGAUCCAGUGUAGUCAGUUCUUAUCAGUUGAACCAUUGAUUUAUCCUCUCUCACAGCAGGACGAUAUAAUAACUGGAUUUUUGGAGCAGGGAGAUGGAAUAGGAGCUUGCUUUACCCACUCCACCUGGUAAUGCAGUAUGCAGUACCUCCAGGAUCAAUACACAA